GGUCGCGUAGCUUAACUGAAUAGAGCCCCUGACUACGGAUCAGGAGGUUACAGGUUUGAAUCCUGUCGCGAUCA
rnacentral:tRNA from 1 species